rnacentral:rRNA from 1 species
CACGCAGGCGGCAUCGCAAGUCAGUUGUGAAAUCCCUCAGCUUAACUGAGGAACUGCAGCUGAAACUGCGAAGCUCGAGGACGGUAGGGGAGAGCGGAACUCCUGGUGGAGCGGUGAAAUGCGUAGAUAUCAGGAGGAACACCGGUGGCGAAGGCGGCUCUCUGGAACGUUCCUGACGCUGAGGUGCGAAAGCUAGGGUAGCGAACAGGAUUAGAUACCCUGGUAGUCC